UGUGUGUUAGUGGAAGCGUCUGGAAAGGCGCGCGAUACAGGGUGACAGCCCCGUACACAAAAAUGCACAUGCUGUGAGCUCGAUGAGUAGGGCGGGACACGUGGUAUCCUGUCUGAAUAUGGGGGGACCAUCCUCCAAGGCUAAAUACUCCUGACUGACCGAUAGUGAACCAGUACCGUGAGGGAAAGGCGAAAAGAACCCCGGCGAGGGGAGUGAAAAAGAACCUGAAACCGUGUACGUACAAGCAGUGGGAGCACGCUUAGGCGUGUGACUGCGUACCUUUUGUAUAAUGGGUCAGCGACUUAUAUUCUGUAGCAAGGUUAACCGAAUAGGGGAGCCGAAGGGAAACCGAGUCUUAACUGGGCGUUAAGUUGCAGGGUAUAGACCCGAAACCCGGUGAUCUAGCCAUGGGCAGGUUGAAGGUUGGGUAACACUAACUGGAGGACCGAACCGACUAAUGUUGAAAAAUUAGCGGAUGACUUGUGGCUGGGGGUGAAAGGCCAAUCAAACCGGGAGAUAGCUGGUUCUCCCCGAAAGCUAUUUAGGUAGCGCCUCGUGAAUUCAUCUCCGGGGGUAGAGCACUGUUUCGGCAAGGGGGUCAUCCCGACUUACCAACCCGAUGCAAACUGCGAAUACCGGAGAAUGUUAUCACGGGAGACACACGGCGGGUGCUAACGUCCGUCGUGAAGAGGGAAACAACCCAGACCGCCAGCUAAGGUCCCAAAGUCAUGGUUAAGUGGGAAACGAUGUGGGAAGGCCCAGACAGCCAGGAUGUUGGCUUAGAAGCAGCCAUCAUUUAAAGAAAGCGUAAUAGCUCACUGGUCGAGUCGGCCUGCGCGGAAGAUGUAACGGGGCUAAACCAUGCACCGAAGCUGCGGCAGCGACGCUGAUGCGUUGUUGGGUAGGGGAGCGUUCUGUAAGCCUGCGAAGGUGUGCUGUGAGGCAUGCUGGAGGUAUCAGAAGUGCGAAUGCUGACAUAAGUAACGAUAAAGCGGGUGAAAAGCCCGCUCGCCGGAAGACCAAGGGUUCCUGUCCAACGUUAAUCGGGGCAGGGUGAGUCGACCCCUAAGGCGAGGCCGAAAGGCGUAGUCGAUGGGAAACAGGUUAAUAUUCCUGUACUUGGUGUUACUGCGAAGGGGGGACGGAGAAGGCUAUGUUGGCCGGGCGACGGUUGUCCCGGUUUAAGCGUGUAGGCUGGUUUUCCAGGCAAAUCCGGAAAAUCAAGGCUGAGGCGUGAUGACGAGGCACUACGGUGCUGAAGCAACAAAUGCCCUGCUUCCAGGAAAAGCCUCUAAGCAUCAGGUAACAUCAAAUCGUACCCCAAACCGACACAGGUGGUCAGGUAGAGAAUACCAAGGCGCUUGAGAGAACUCGGGUGAAGGAACUAGGCAAAAUGGUGCCGUAACUUCGGGAGAAGGCACGCUGAUAUGUAGGUGAAGUCCCUCGCGGAUGGAGCUGAAAUCAGUCGAAGAUACCAGCUGGCUGCAACUGUUUAUUAAAAACACAGCACUGUGCAAACACGAAAGUGGACGUAUACGGUGUGACGCCUGCCCGGUGC
rnacentral:rRNA from 1 species